AUUUGAUAUCGAAUUAAUAUGGUAGUCAUGAGCAUGUGCAUACACUCUUCUACACCUUGCAAGAAGGCUGGUCUCGUUGCUCGUUACCAUGGGCAAACGGAGUGAGGGGAUGCCCUCAGGCGGAAAUGACAAAUCAUUGCUCAAAGAACUGUAAGCUUUAUCUCCACAGCCCCCAUUUGCAAGACACUGCUUUGGGCUGGAACAUAAACUCGAACUGGCUAUACUGCCAUUUCCAGCAACUUUCGAAGGGUCAAUAUUCAUUUCAGAUAUUUUCUUAACUUUCUUCUCUUGGACCUUCCAAUACUUAAUAGUUUUGUCAUUAGUAGACAGAAGGAAAAGGGCACCAUUUGCUGUUUGGCACCACCGGAUCUUGUUGAUUUUCUCCUCAAUCUCCAAACUCUUCAAAUAAUCAAACUCAGGCUCGUGGCUUUGAAAUUCUGUCUUGUAGCGGAACUCUGGAUGCCGACUAACUGGAUAGUCCACUCUCUCUAACUCUCGUCGACUACCAACCUCCUUGGUAUCAGUUCUUUCAAACAAUACCACUCUACCACCACGAUCCCCAGUGGCAAGAUGGUCACCAGAUUUAUCAAACUCAAUUGCUGAGAUGAUAUCAACUUCCUGCACUUCUUCACCAGCCGUACGUUCACCAAAAACCUGUGAAAAUUUCCACUCUAGCGGCG
rnacentral:misc_RNA from 1 species